GAAAUGCGAUAAGUAGUGUGAAUUGCAGAAUUCAGUGAAUCAUCGAAUCUUUGAACGCACAUUGCGCCCUUUGGUAUUCCAAAGGGCAUGUCUGUUCGAGCGUCAUUUGUACCCUCAAGCUUUGCUUGGUGUUGGGCGUCUUGUCUCUAGCUUUGCUGGAGACUCGCCUUAAAGUAAUUGGCAGCCGGCCUACUGGUUUCGGAGCGCAGCACAAGUCGCACUCUCUAUCAGCAAAGGUCUAGCAUCCAUUAAGCCUUUUUUUCAACUUUUGACCUCGGAUCAGGUAGGGAUACCCGCUGAACUUAAGC
rnacentral:misc_RNA from 1 species